rnacentral:rRNA from 1 species
AGAUGUGUAUAAGAGACAGGAUCCUGAGUACGACGGAGCACGUGAAAUUCCGUCGGAAUCUGGGAGGACCAUCUCCUAAGGCUAAAUACUCUCUAGUGACCGAUAGUGAACCAGUACCGUGAGGGAAAGGUGAAAAGCACCCCGGAAGGGGAGUGAAAUAGAACCUGAAACCGUGUGCUUACAAGUAGUCAGAGCCCGUUAAUGGGUGAUGGCGUGCCUUUUGUAGAAUGAACCGGCGAGUUACGAUUUGAUGCAAGGUUAAGCAGUAAAUGUGGAGCCGUAGCGAAAGCGAGUCUGAAUAGGGCGUUUAGUAUUUGGUCGUAGACCCGAAACCAGGUGAUCUACCCUUGGUCAGGUUGAAGUUCAGGUAACACUGAAUGGAGGACCGAACCGACUUACGUUGAAAAGUGAGCGGAUGAACUGAGGGUAGCGGAGAAAUUCCAAUCGAACCUGGAGAUAGCUGGUUCUCUCCGAAAUAGCUUUAGGGCUAGCCUCAAGUGAUGAUUAUUGGAGGUAGAGCACUGUUUGGACGAGGGGCCCCUCUCGGGUUACCGAAUUCAGACAAACUCCGAAUGCCAAUUAAUUUAACUUGGGAGUCAGAACAUGGGUGAUAAGGUCCGUGUUCGAAAGGGAAACAGCCCAGACCACCAGCUAAGGUCCCAAAAUAUAUGUUAAGUGGAAAAGGAUGUGGCGUUGCCCAGACAACUAGGAUGUUGGCUUAGAAGCAGCCAUCAUUUAAAGAGUGCGUAAUAGCUCACUAGUC